UACGUAGGGUGCGAGCGUUAAUCGGAAUUACUGGGCGUAAAGUGUGCGCAGGCGGCAAAGCAAGUCGAGUGUGAAAGCCCCGGGCUUAACUUGGGAAUUGCGCUCGAAACUACUUUGCUGGAGUGUGGCAGAGGAAGGUGGAAUUCCACGUGUAGCGGUGAAAUGCGUAGAUAUCUGGAGGAACACCGGUGGCGAAGGCGGCAUCCUGGACCGGCAUUGACGCUGAGGCGCGAAAGCCAGGGGAGCAAACGGG
rnacentral:rRNA from 1 species